CAGCCACAUCACAUUGAAACACUGGUUUCCAUACGAUCACCAAAUUUAAGCAAUGCUGAGCUUGGUCAGUACCUUGAUGGGUGACAUUUUGGGUAUACCAGAUGCAGCAAG